UUCCUCCACUAACAUUUAGAGCUUUUAAAAGCAUAAAUGGUAAUUAGAUUUUUAUAUUUAUUAUAAGUAAAUUGUGGGUGGGAUUAAGAGGCAAUGAUGUAUGCUAAACUUUACAGUGUUAUAGUUCUAACUACAUGUUAAUCACUUGCAUAUUGCUGACUGAUGAAAUACUCUGAAACUGUAGUAAUUUAUUCUGUUUUUAAAUUACUAUUUUUUGUCUGUUUGUUAACAGAUGACUCCAGGAGUUCUACUCCACUGGGAAGUGUAUCAGUGGAAGUAGAAAAGAAAGAAAAGAAGGCUGAUACUAAAGAUGGGAAGCCUGGGGAAACCGAACCUCUGACAGACAGCAACAAGUCCCUUGACAAAGUGUCUAACUCCAGCAGCGCUGAAUCUGGUGUCUCUUAUGAUUCUGACAAACUCACUCAGGCCCAGGAGUCAUCCUGAAUCUUCAGCUACAUCAAGUUUCAUCAGAGCACUUAAAGACUCGCAUGAACUAGAUUAUUGGCAUACAGGCUACAAGAGCAUAAUUAAUAAUAAUAAUAAUAAUAAUAAUAAUAAUAAUAAAUAUAAAUUGUUUAUUUUGCACUUUAUAGAUUAAAAAUCUGAUGGAUCAAUGGUAAAAUGAGGUUCUUUAGCUUUUCAUGAAAUGGGUUUUAAAAGUGUUCAUGCUUCUUCAAUCUGAACAUUCAUGACAGCAAAAUUUAUAUGAGCCAGUUUUGAAAAGUUUAAAACUUUUAGAGUAAAUCAUAAAUCUGAAAACAUGUUUGUAUUGAUUAAUAUUUGAAACAUUGUCACUGGUUUAUGCACCUGUGAGAAUAAAAUCAGAGACACAAACUUGUUGUAGUUUCAUACAGAUUGGACACAAAGCAGACACUAAAGUCUGCAGCUGAUAAAGUGGGUGGAGCUCAGCAGUGACACCUGCUGCCUCUGCAGGAAACAUCUCCAGGCAGGUGGAAGAAAAUGUUUUAGAGUGUGACGUCUGUUAAUGGAUAUAAUGUUUUUAUGUAGAAGAAAUACAAUUAAAAUCACACAAUAUUUAGAAGUGAA